rnacentral:lncRNA from 1 species
CUGGGUUUCCUCCGUCAGCUGGGAAAUGAUUGCGCAGAAGGUGCUCCUGUUCUGGGGUCGGAUGCUAAGCAGAUAGCUGCGCCGGUCGGGCCGCGAGGCCCAGGCCGCGCUUUCCGCCUCCUCCGCCCCCUCCACGCUGCCCCUCCGCUGAGGCGGCGACGUCCGCCCGUUGCCCGCGUACGAGUCGCUGAGGGCCCGGCGCGGCGAGCCCAUGGUGGCGGCCGGGCUGCGGCUGCCCCUGCCCGCCGCGCCGCUGCCGGCCCUGUCAAUCACCUCCG